rnacentral:rRNA from 1 species
CUGUAUAAUCCCCGAGGGGGAAAGAUUUAUCGCUAUUAGAUGAGCCUACGUUAGAUUAGCUAGUUGGUGAGGUAAUGGCUUACCAAGGCUAUGAUCUAUAGCUGGUCUGAGAGGACGAUCAGCCACACUGGAACUGAGAUACGGUCCAGACUCCUACGGGAGGCAGCAGUGGGGAAUAUUGGACAAUGGGCGAAAGCCUGAUCCAG